UGAGGAAUAUUGGUCAAUGGGCGAGAGCCUGAACCAGUCAAGUAGCGUGCAGGACGACGGCCCUAUGGGUUGUAAACUGCUUUUAUGUGGGGAUAAAGUGCGUGACGUGUCAUGCAUUGCAGGUACCACAUGAAUAAGGACCGGCUAAUUCCGUGCCAGCAGCCGCGGUAAUACGGAAGGUCCGGGCGUUAUCCGGAUUUAUUGGGUUUAAAGGGAGCGUAGGCUGUCUAUUAAGCGUGUUGUGAAAUUUACCGGCUCAACCGGUGGCUUGCAGCGCGAACUGGUCGACUUGAGUAUGCAGGAAGUAGGCGGAAUUCAUGGUGUAGCGGUGAAAUGCUUAGAUAUCAUGACGAACUCCGAUUGCGCAGGCAGCUUACUGUAGCAUAACUGACGCUGAUGCUCGAAAGUGCGGGUAUCAAACAGG
rnacentral:rRNA from 1 species